rnacentral:rRNA from 1 species
CCUACGUGAGGCAGCAGUGAGGAAUAUUGGUCAAUGGGCGGGAGCCUGAACCAGCCAAGUCGCGUGAGGGAAGACGGUCCUAUGGAUUGUAAACCUCUUUAGGCGGGGAGCAAUGCCGGGCACGCGUGCACGGAGGGAGAGUACCCGCAGAAUAAGCAUCGGCUAACUCCGUGCCAGCAGCCGCGGUAAUACGGAGGAUGCGAGCGUUAUCCGGAUUUAUUGGGUUUAAAGGGUGCGUAGGCGGAUUUGUAAGUCAGCGGUAAAAUGUCCGGGCUCAACCCGGGCCGGCCGUUGAAACUGGGGAUCUUGAGUGGGCGAGAAGUAUGCGGAAUGCGUGGUGUAGCGGUGAAAUGCAUAGAUAUCACGCAGAACUCCGAUUGCGAAGGCAGCAUACCGGCGCCCGACUGACGCUGAGGCACGAAAGCGUGGGGAUCGAACAGGAUUAGAUACCCCUGUAGUC